GCAGCGGAGGGAGGGAGGAUGACAGAAAGCAAGGUUUUUGCAUCCAAAGCGUCGGCAGCAGCAGAGAGACGGCACCUGAUGGCUGAGGGGGGACUAACGGAUGCAUUUCGGGGAGCUGGAGUGACCGGCCUUGCCGCCGAUCCUGCAUUCGUGGCCUUGGAUUUCCAGCAGAACAAGCCUCUCCCCGUGCCAAAGGCGCCUUGGCUUUAUGGUUUUUCAGUGUUACGCUUUGCAGCACUGGCAGGUUUGCAGCCAAAUCCUUCUUCUGCAGAGCUAGCCUGACGCUGCGUGUGGCUCACCACCCGGCAGGCAGAUACGACGCCCAGGAGCAACCUUCUCCGUGCCACCAAUGAGGGUGUGAAUCGAUGCAGUUAACUGUUCCCGAGGGUACUCGCAGCGAGAUACAGGCUUCUCUGGCUGUGGAAAUCAUGACCCAGAGCAUGGUUGAAGGCAGAGCAUCUUCCUCUUCUUGCCACCAAACAGCAGCACCUAACAAGUUUAAUCUUUUUCAAGCCCACCCAAAGACUGUUGAAAAAACUGAAAUGUCUGUUUUCUGCUGGAUAUCCUCUGCAUGAGAGAAUAGACAAGAAGAGUCUGGUGAGAAGAGGCUCAGGACAGGAGCUCUGCAUUCAUUUCUUCGCUUGCCACGAGCCACCCGGGUUCCUGAGCUGUAUGCCCCUGGAUGUGCAUUGCCUGGGGAUGUGUCUUGGCUCCUCACCUGUGCAAUGACGGUGUAAAUGUUUCCCUGAGCUCCCAGGCUCUGCAGAGGUUGUGAACACUAGCAUACGCAAGCCAACUGACUAACACUAUUGUAAGAGACCAGUCUUCAUCCAACAACUGAUAAAUCUUUGAUAAAGCUCAGCUGUACACUUACCACCUGUACCCCCCUAUCCUAAAAUUGUUAUUUAAAUGAUAGUUUGAAUAGAAUUCUUCCCCCAAGUCUUGUGACUGUAUUCCUAUCCCACUUAUCCACAAUGCAGUUUUCAGAAUUAGAGCUUUUUGUUUACUUGGGAUACUUUUUAUAAAUUAACCAUUGAUUACUUAAUGACGUAAGGUUUCUGAAUCAUCAGUAGAAUGCUUACAGAAUUGUAUUUCCUUUUGCAUCAUGCAGAAAAGAAGUCAGAUCUGUAGCUGUGCUGUCCUAAACAAGAACAAUACCAUCAGUGUCAAGCUUGAGCCAGAGAGAAACUUGCACAAGUAAUCCAAAAUCGGUGACCAGGAUGCUACGAGAACCCAGGCAGGCCAGCCAAGCUUCUGCACUGAAGACAGUAAAACUAAGAUGGGGAUACGACAUUCAUAAAAAUCACCUCUUUGAGAUACUUGGAGAACUUGAUUUCAUGUCUGUAUUUAUGCUCUUAAUGCUAAUGUGAGCUAGAACAUUGUUAUUACAUAUGCUUGACCAUAUCAAAAUGGUAGGUAAUUAGUUUCAGUUAUGUAGAAUAUCUGAGGGGUGUUUAAUUUAUUAGAUUUUUAAUUGGUCUCUGUGUGUAAUGGGCUAGAAAAAAAAGGUAAGAAAUGAGGCUGUAUAAUUCAUCUGAAAAAAAUCCUUUUUCCUCCCCUCAUUCCUUCCUUUUCAACUGUUGAGAUUUCUUUUUGUUAUUUAUAAC